CAACCCGCAUCCCAUCUGUCACACAUUCUGUCAUUGGACAGGGGCUUAACGGAAUUCUUUGAUAGUACUAUCAGUAUUUUCAUUAAAGAGGGGGGGCUCAUUCUAACAAACGGCAUGGGCUUAGGGGAAAGUACGACCAGAAAAGUGUCUUAUGGCGUGGAUGAGGAGGACAGAGUCCGGAUCCUUCGCGGAGUAAAGCUGUCAGAAGAUGUUCUUCAGAGGAUGCGAGGAGUAGCCAACAUCAGUCAAUCAUCACUGUCCUCAGGCCCUCAAGGAGACAAAGGUUCCUCUCCUGGCUCUAGCUCUGCCUCUCAGUCCAGGCAGAAGCCAGAGUCCCGAGCGCCGUCCAGCAAACCAGCGUCCACUGCUAAAGAAGAUCAGAGAAGGUUUGAACGGCAGCAGGCGAUACUGAAGGAGGAGCUGGCCAAGAUUACCCAGAGAGAAAAGGAGCUGGCAGACGAGAAGACCAAAGCCUCCAUCCAGGAACGACAACACGCCCGCCAGGAGUCUGAGAAGACUAAACAACUGCUUGCUGAAGAAAUGGAAGUGAGGGCUCUGCAGCUGCAAAAGAAAGACCUGCAGCUGAAAGCUCUGGAAGCCUUCUACCAGGAGCAGCUGGCACAGCUGGAGAAGAAGAACUUGGAGAGAUAUGCAGAAAGCAAAGAGCAGUUCCACCAAGCUGCCUCCAAAACAGAAGCCAACAUCAGGUCUUGCAGUACAGCUCCAGUGUGUUCUGGCCUGCAGGCUCAGAUUUUAUCUUGUUACAGAGACAACAGAGACCAGACCCUAAAGUGCUCAGACCUGGCCAAGGAAUACCUGCAAUGUAUAAACGCUGCAAGAAAGACUCCUCAGCAUGUUGGGCAGCAGCAGGCGAACGGCAGCAGCUGAUUGCGUGGCGGUUUAGCCGUGGCGAGUGAUUUUUAAGCGUGGACCCAUGCUGACUUGGGCCCCACUUCACUUGGAAGGUCUCCACAGACGAUGCACUGAUCAGUCCAGGAAGAUUUCUGCUUUCUGAGUCUGCCGGUCAGCCGCGGAUGAAGAUGGAGAAGAAAAGGGUAAAAUCUUUGUUUAACCAAGACUUCAGUUAAGGCACUAAAAGCAGCUUUUUUGCUGUAAUUCGCUGUUUAAAUAGUAUUAAAGUUAAUUUGCUGUUAGCAUGCUGUGCUUUUUGAAAAAAGAAAAAAAAUCCUUGAAGCUGUUGUGCGAAUUCCUGUGUUAUUCCAUGAAUCUGCACUGCUACAUUUUUCAGGGAAACUGCAAAAAGAAAAAAGAAAACACUGCAAACGAAUUAGUCUUCUGCUGAGUGUGAAGAUUUAGUUUACGUCCAAACCGCUGCUGCUUUUGAAAAAAAGAAGAAAAAAGGAACGAAUGCAAAGACCUCACAGACGAAGAAGUAAUUCACCUUUACUUCUUAUGACUUUUGCUGUUUUAUCUAUUUUUUCUGCAACAAGAAAGGAAUACACUCUGGUGAUCAUGAUUGCAUCUUUAUGUUAUCAGAAGUGUUACUGAAGUUUUAUUAAAACAUUCAUACCCGCUGACAA